GCUUGUGGCCCCGACAGAGCAUGAAGACAGCUACAAAGAGAACACGGGGCCUGAUGUGGUCUCCAAGAUGGAGAACACGGGCUGGUGGAAUCCAGCAAAACUGGCAUGAAGCGUUUUGAUCCUGAAAAGGAAGAGAAGCAAUCUCCUUCCCUCUUCCUACUCCUUUGGGACACAGACUUCCGAGGAGGGAUAAUUAGAAAGUUUUAUCCAGAGAGAAAAGUCCCAGAGCUCAGAGCUCGUGUCGGGAGACGGCUGGAAAAGGCAGGCAAGGAUGGGAAACUGCUGAAAAGACCUCCUCCCAGGCUCAUUCAUUGCUGCUACCCCUCCUUUCCUAUUGAAUCUCCUCUUCUCCAAAGGCUCUGGUUUCUGGCAAUGAAAGUGCAGGAACGCCACUGAGAUGAACGUGACCUCCGCCCACAGGAAUGCGUACGAGGUGCGACGCGAGUGCAGAUUUGCUGUUUUGUUUUCCUUCCAGUUGCAAACACUGAAAUUACUGCUGUGAUCACAACAAAUCCUUUACCACUAUAAGAAGGAAAACAUUUUAAAUGCUUUAAGAAGUAACCUACACUGAACGCAAGUUUAAUCAAGAUCUGAAAGAAGGUUGGUUGUUCCUCUACAGGGUGAUUAUUCAUACAAAGCAUCUAAGGAAUACGCUGGGACCUAUUCUCAUACAGGGCCAAAGGGAACUCACAGCAUGACCUAAACUAUUUCAAGUGUAUCAGGUAAUUUGUAUUCAAAGUCUGAUACUUUUAUACAUACCAAGUAGUAUCAUUCCAAAAUAAGAACCUUCACUGGUACCAUGGAGACUACUCAAAAAGUAAAUUGCUAUUUCAGGCCAGCAGCCCCACCAAAUUUUGGCUCCCUGAUUCUAAAAACACAUCGCUUUUUCUUGUGUUUAAAAUAUAAGGACAAUGGCAAACCUUGAAUAUUUUUUGCUCUUUGUGAAAACAAUGUAUGUAAAUCCACAAUUUCAGGUUAAUGAUUAACAUUCGUAAUUAUUUCCUGUUAUAGAAAAUCAGACUUUAUUUUCUUAUCUCCUGAGAUGAAGUUAAAAUGGCUUUAAUAAUGAAAUCCACUUUUCACUUGUAAUGUGUUUCUUCUGCACUCAUUAACAAUUCAUAAUUUAAGAAUCGGGAGUGAUUAAUGGCUGGCUACACCACAUAAUGCUGCUAAGGAACAAUGGUGCAAUUCAGAAGGUUUAGAGGUUCCCCUUACUCCCUGUUACACGUGCUAACCUUCACUGACGGUAAUCCUCUUCAUCCAAAUCCAGAAGGCAGCAGGAUGUGGUCCAAAAACACCACCAAAGUGAUAGCAGAAAAGCCCAGUACAUAGAACAAAAAUUGCUGUCACAGUGUUAAGAUUUAAAGGGAAGCUUAAGAAACUGUCUUGGGCUCUUCACAAAGAGUUAAAUGCUGCUACGCUUCUGCCCAUGAAGGGCUGGAAUCUCAGCUCUCCUGGUUUCCACCUGCCCCAGACAGAGGAGCCGCAGCAAUCGGUGCCUGUGAAGUAGGGAGUUACUUCCCUGUCUUCUCAGCUAAUCUUGGCCAAGUGAGUUGGUACAAGAAUUCAGAUGCUCAUCUUCCAUUCGCCUUCUUCCCAGCACUUUGCUGUCCUCUUGUCUGACAAGAAGAAGUGGACUUCGGGGCUAAUUUUCUCUCUUCCCCUCUCACGCCUGUGAUAAAGCCACUCCAUGUGGAUGUGUGUCACCGGGAAGCAAAGGAAUGACUUCUCUUCCCACGCUCUCUGACUGUGCUGAAUGGACAGCCUAUGUUUUUGCCUUCAGUUAUGAAUCCUUGAUGAAUGAAGAUAUUUGAUGGAAGGCUGG